AUGGUAGAGAAGAACAGCGAGGUGCUGGUAGGCUCGCCGCCGGCGGCCGAUCACCACUGCCACCAGAAGGUCCUCCAGAACCACCCCGGCGUCAGCGGUGUUGUCCCCCCGGUUACUGAUGGUCUGCUGCAGGUGGUCGUAGCAGACACGGGCAAGCACGCGGCACGUGUGGCCGUGGAGGGCUUCGCGGUGCUGGAGCCUCCCGCGGACGCCGAGGCGGCGGCCGAGCGGCGAGACGACGUGGCCGCGCUCCUCGCCGGCUUCGCCCAACACCUCCAGGAGAGGACCACCCACCACCUGGGGUACCCUUACAACCUGGACUUCAACUUUAGUGUGAUGGCCCAAUUCCAGAACUUCUCCAUCAACAAUCUCGGCGACCCUUUCAUUGAGAGCAACUACGGCGUCCACUCCAGGCAGUUUGAAGUUGCCGUGCUUGACUGGUUUGCCCGCCUCUGGGACCUCCAACAGGACGAAUAUUGGGGAUACAUCACCAAUUGCGGCACUGAAGGGAACCUCCACGGCCUAUUAGUCGGGAGGGAGCUUUUUCCAGAUGGGAUCAUAUACGCGUCUCGUGAGUCGCACUACUCCGUGUUCAAGGCAGCUAGGAUGUAUAGAGUUGAUUGUGUGGAGAUCGACACUCUAAUUUCUGGAGAGAUGAACUGCGCAGAUUUUAAGUCCAAACUAUCGCUGAACCCCGGGAGGCCUGCGAUUGUUAAUGUGAAUAUAGGAACGACUGUCAAGGGAGCCAUCGACGAUCUUGACAGGAUUAUAAGAACGCUUGAAAAAUGUGGGUUUCGAGAUCGAUUCUACAUCCAUUGCGAUGGUGCUCUAGCUGGCCUUAUGAUGCCAUUUAUCAAACAAGCACCAAAGGUGACAUUCAAGAAGCCCAUCGGAAGCGUGAGCAUAUCAGGCCACAAGUUCAUGGGAUGUCCUGUACCAUGCGGCGUGGUAAUAACCAGGCUCGAGCAUGUAAAAGUGCUCUCCACUGAUAUCGAAUACCUAUCAUCUAGAGAUGCGACAAUCAUGGGGAGCCGCAAUGGGCAUGCACCAAUGUUCCUUUGGUACACGUUGAACAAAAAGGGAUAUAGAGGCAUCCGCAAAGAGGUCCAGAAGUGCUUGAGAAAUGCUCAUCAUCUCGUGAACCGUUUAAGGGAGGCGGGAGUGAGCGCGUACCUGAACGAGUUGAGCAGCACGGUGGUGUUCGAGAGACCACAAGACGAGGCAUUCGUCCACAAGUGGCAGCUCGCAUGCGAGGGAAGCAUCGCACAUGUGGUGGUAAUGCCAAAUGUGAGUGUGGAGAAGCUCGAUGACUUUAUCAAAGAGCUCAUCGGUGAGAGAUUGCGCUGGCAUGAAGGUGGAGGGUUUAGGGUGCCAUGUGUUGCAAAGGACAUCGGGCAAGAAAAUUGCCUCUGCGGCGUGCAUGACAAGAAAUUAAGAGUUGUGUAA
rnacentral:rRNA from 1 species